UCUAACUAUUGUUUGAGUCCUCAUCGCUUACGGAUGGGCUCCCCCUCCCCUCAGAGGACAUCCAAGCCAUCAGGGUAGAGAUGUUCCACUACAGGAUGAAAGCGAUGACUCUGAACACUGUUGUGUUGAUUUGUUGUGACCCCUCCUUCCAAGCGAACAAGGAUGGGGACAUUGACAGCACCACGCGACCCUGCCAUGGCUGCCUGCUGUCCACAGACCUAACAGACCCCAGGGAGGACCUGGGAGGCGUCUCAGCUUUGGGGCGAGAAAUAGCUGAUAACUCGGGAGAAAAAAGAUAAGGUUGAGGAAGACAUUUUCAACGCUUAACAAGCCCAGCGAGGUGCGUUUGUUUUCCGUUGAAGUGAGUCGACUCACAGGUCCAUCCACGAAAUAGCGAUCGCCACAGCAGCAGGAGCAGCAUCAGCACCCCGCAGCAUGUUCUUCAGGAGGAAACGUGGGCGGAAAACACCACUUUGUGCUCCCCCUGUUCAAAUAUUUGCUCACAUGUCAACUACGAGUGGAUGAGGAUCCAUGUUUUUUUCUUUUUUUUUUUUGGCUGUGUUUUAUUGUUUUGGCAGGUGCCAUUAUUUUUGUCUUUAAUCGAAUCUGUCUGGAGCUUAAUGGGCUGGUCCUGAUGGAUUUGCCGGGUUUCCUCUCACCCGCACCAAAGAAGACGUGAACCCCAGUUGGGCAGUUCCUUCUUGUAAAGACAGCCUGAAGCUAUUUGUGCUCAUCUGAUAAGUCAAAUAUAGAAUUCACACCAUAAUUGCACUGUUUUGUUAUUUAUAAUGACACAAAAAUAGAAAUAAAGCCUCUUCACACAUCCUUUGAGAGAUCAAAAGGUCGGUACCCAUCAAGUCAUUCUACCUUAAUUGGCUGGACAAGAAUACAGCAAUAAAUACUUUGCAAAUUUCAUUUGAUUAAUUUCCAUGACCCAUUUAAAGCCACAUUCAUUACUCAUCUGAAGGUCCGUUCUGUCUUCUUGAUCUUCUUGACUGUCCUCUGCACAGGAUCAACUGAUGGUUUUCUAUUUAAUUGUGCAGUAUUUGUUGUUGUUUUUCAGGGAUGUUUUCAUUAAGAUUUCCUGUGCUUACAGAAAUCGAUGUAUUUGCUUUUGUUUACAUCUGCACUUCUG